rnacentral:rRNA from 1 species
GACGAACGCUGGCGGCGUGCCUAAUACAUGCAAGUCGAACGCACGAAGUUGAAGAGCUUGCUCUUUAACCAAGUGAGUGGCGGACGGGUGAGUAACACGUGGGUAACCUGCCCAUUAGAGGGGGAUAACAUUCGGAAACGGAUGCUAAUACCGCAUAAUUUCAGGAAUCGCAUGAUUCUUGAAGGAAAGGUGGCUUCGGCUACCACUAAUGGAUGGACCCGCGGCGUAUUAGCUAGUUGGUGAGGUAAUGGCUCACCAAGGCAAUGAUACGUAGCCGACCUGAGAGGGUGAUCGGCCACACUGGGACUGAGACACGGCCCAGACUCCUACGGGAGGCAGCAGUAGGGAAUCUUCCGCAAUGGACGAAAGUCUGACGGAGCAACGCCGCGUGAGUGAAGAAGGUUUUCGGAUCGUAAAACUCUGUUGUUAAAGAAGAACAAGGAUGAGAGUAACUGCUCAUCCCCUGACGGUAUUUAACCAGAAAGCCACGGCUAAUUACGUGCCAGCCGCCGCGGUAA